UGGGGAAUCUUGCGCCAAUGCGCGAAAGCGUGACGCAGCGACGCCGCGUGGGGGAUGAAGGCCCUCGGGUUGUAAACCCCUUUCGCCAGGGACGAAGCGAGAGUGACGGUACCUGGAGAAGAAGUCCCGGCUAACUACGUGCCAGCAGCCGCGGUAACACGUAGGGGACGAGCGUUGUCCGGAUUCAUUGGGCGUAAAGCGCGCGUAGGCGGUCGUGCAAGUCGGUUGUGAAAUCCCGGGGCUCAACCCCGGGACUGCGUCCGAUACUGUGCGACUGGAGGCAGGUAGGGGAGAUCGGAAUUCCUGGUGUAGCGGUGAAAUGCGCAGAUAUCAGGAGGAACACCGGUGGCGAAGGCGGAUCUCUGGGCCUUGCCUGACGCUGAGGCGCGAAAGCUAGGGGAGCGAACAGG
rnacentral:rRNA from 1 species